rnacentral:rRNA from 1 species
CCUACGGGGGGCUGCAGUGGGGAAUAUUGGACAAUGGGGGCAACCCUGAUCCAGCCAUGCCGCGUGUGUGAAGAAGGCCCUCGGGUUGUAAAGCACUUUCAGUGAGGAAGAACGCCUGGUGGUUAAUACCCAUCAGGAAAGACAUCACUCACAGAAGAAGCACCGGCUAACUCCGUGCCAGCAGCCGCGGUAAUACGGAGGGUGCGAGCGUUAAUCGGAAUUACUGGGCGUAAAGCGCGCGUAGGUGGCUUGAUAAGCCGGUUGUGAAAGCCCCGGGCUCAACCUGGGAACGGCAUCCGGAACUGUCGAGCUAGAGUGCAGGAGAGGAAGGUAGAAUUCCCGGUGUAGCGGUGAAAUGCGUAGAGAUCGGGAGGAAUACCAGUGGCGAAGGCGGCCUUCUGGACUGACACUGACACUGAGGUGCGAAAGCGUGGGUAGCAAACAGGAUUAGAUACCCGAGUAGUC